GUAGGCAGAAGCGAGACAGUAUUGUUUUCAAGUAUAUAAACAUUUCAGACGUGAAUAUUGAGUAAAUCUUUGAAAAUCUACACAAUAUAUAAAUUGAUCUUAUGCAUUACGGGCGUUCAAUUUAAUAAGUGCCUAUAAUAUUUAGACGGUAUAUUCAUUAUACAGAGCUAGGAAGGAGCUAGACCGCCUAGACAGUGCAGUUAAGUGUAUAAACAUUUCAGACGUAAAUAUUGAGUCGAAAAUCUUGAUUCUAGGCAUUCAAUUGAGUGCCGAUAUUAUUUUCACGGCAUACUCAUUAUACAGAGGUACAGUACGUGUAGGCAGAAGCGAGACAAUGUUGUUUUCAAGACCUUUCAAGUAUAUAAACAUUUCAGACAUGAAUAUAAGAAUAUUGAGAAAAUCUUUGAGAUUCUACGCAAUAAUAGUAAUACAAUAUAUAAAUUGAUGUUAUUCAUUACCGUCGAUAUUAUUUAGACCGUGUAUUCAUUAUACAUUGUCAUUGACUGUAUAAGGUGCUACAUCACAGAAUAGAUGGCUGCACUCAGUACAAAGAGCGAAAAAUUGCAUCAGAUCUGUAUCAGAUCAAUAAAGCAUAAACAAUUAUUAAACAUAAGCGGGUAAACGUUUGACGUUGCGAGACUAAAGAAAUCAGUUGAGUCAGAGCUCCUUAAUUAGUAAAUAAGAAAGACGAGGAGAUAGCCAAUGUGUUAUCGCCAAUGGCUUGGCUCGCCAACAAGCUUGAUGCAAUAGAAGAAAAAAGCAAGGAGGUACAUGUAGCCAACGUGUACCGUCACGGACCUUGUCA